UACAGAGGGUGCAAGCGUUGUUCGGAAUUAUUGGGCGUAAAGCGCGUGUAGGCGGCUUUGCAAGUCGGGUGUGAAAGCCCUCAGCUCAACUGAGGAAGUGCGCCCGAAACUGCAGAGCUUGAGUGCCGGAGAGGGUGGCGGAAUUCCCCAAGUAGAGGUGAAAUUCGUAGAUAUGGGGAGGAACACCGGUGGCGAAGGCGGCAUCCGUGGACCGGUAUUGACGCUGAGGCGCGAAAGCCAGGGGAGCAAACGGG
rnacentral:rRNA from 1 species